rnacentral:pre_miRNA from 1 species
CGGGGGAGGCGGGAACCUGGGCUGUGUCCCGGCGCCCUGUGCUCCCAGGGCCUGCGCUGUUGGAUUCGCGCUCCCGCCCCGCAGCCCCCU